AUGCUGAUGAACACCUUGAAGAGGAUUGCUUUCACAUUUGAAGAACUUUUAACAGUCCAUUGUUUAUGGGAUUCUGAAAAAAGGUUUGUUCCAACAUCUAUCUUUGUCAUUGGGCUGAACACGGAAAAUCUAAGGGAACAUUAUAUUUAUAUCCUUGGUCGGAAGCUUGGGAGGACUGCAUACUUCUGCACUGAGAUAAGUACAUCUGAGCUGAAGGUUGUAGAGCUUGCAGGAAUUGUUGUCAGCGCUUUGCCUAUGUGCCAUUCACAAGAAUAUUUUAUAAGUAAAAAUAUUCUAGAGAAAUGA
rnacentral:rRNA from 1 species